GCAAGUCAGCUGAAAUUGGUUAAUUCCAUGGUUUCUCUACAGUGUGAAAUCUUCAAUGGAUUAAUUAAACUCCGGCUUGUAAACAGUAAUAUGCUGGCUUAAUUAAUACUCAUUGGCAUCUUGCAAAGUAAAUGUUUAAUAAUGGACUCUGUGAAUGUUUUGUCUGAAACUAUUGUUCUUCCUCUUCGGGAACGUGGGUUUGACUUGGACGGCAUUUCGGUGUUGCUUAGGUGAUGUCUGGACCUACAUACAUAAAUUAAGGGUAACUAUUCCCUCAUGUUGGAUUCCGGGUUUCCAAGGGAGUAGUGGAGAGGAGGGGCGGAAUUUAAGAGAACACUGGGAUUCACUUGCAAUGACCUCAGCAAGUGCCCCAGCAGGGGGGUGUCCUUCAGCACGCAGGGCCGAAAUAUGUGCGUAUUGUACCGUUGUAAUUACGUCCCUUUGUUUUCACAGUGGGCGGCUCUGGGCAGCACCGUCGCCUCGCACCUCUGCUCCCUGCGUGGAGUUGCCACGUUCUCCCCCACUUGGGUGGGUUUCCACUAGCUGAUCUGGUUUCCUUGUGCUUCCGUGCUGCCUGGGGUUGGUGCCAAACCUCUAGCCCAUGUGUUCUCUGUGAAAGGCUAGCACCCUGUUCAGAGUACCCUGGAUGAUGGCGGGAGUGAAUUUUUAAAACCCAGCCUGCACUUACAAUCGCAGGUUUAGAGAUCAGCAAUUGUACGUAUGUAUCUGAUGCUUUGAUUCAAAGUGACUUACAGCAGAGGAAAUGGUUACAUUGUAUUCAUGAUUCCUGGAUUUGCCCCUAUUACUUUUGAAUUAGAAGCACAGUGCUGCACUUCUGAGCUACAGAAGCUAAUGCGCACAAGCCUUUGUGUCGUAAAUAAGCUAAAGCUAAACUCAUUUAGGUGUGUUUGCGCAAAUAAUGUUGUCUUCACGUUAUUUUGAUGAUGUUCUCUCUGACAAUGUAAUCCUUUUUAUCCUAAUUUGAAUUAAUCAAUAAUUACAGUUAAUAGCAUAGACAGGUACAGUCAAACAGACAUUGUUCCAUGGAGUUAUUGAUUUCAAAACACAAAGAAUUUAAGUUACGUUUUGUCAAUUGUUAUAUCUAGAAUGAAAACCUUCAGUGUGUCUCCCUGAAGGGUAGCUAGUGAAGGGGGGCCACAUUAAUGUCGGCUCCAGGCUCCAUAUGUGCCAUAUCUUGCCGGAGCAGUAGUGCCUACUUCGUGCCGGAUCCUGUCGGAACGUCGCUCUGUUUUUUGACUGUCUGCUUUCCAGUACAGAUUUGCAUGGAUUCACAGCUCUCUGCUUAAACAAACAAAAAAAAAAAACAGUAACAUAAAAUAAAAAAAAAAAAAUUAAUUAAGUAUGUAUUGUAACUUACAGACCAAUUCUCAC